UACGUAGGGUGCGAGCGUUAAUCGGAAUUACUGGGCGUAAAGCGUGCGCAGGCGGUUAUGUAAGACAGAUGUGAAAUCCCCGGGCUCAACCUGGGAACUGCAUUUGUGACUGCAUGGCUAGAGUACGGUAGAGGGGGAUGGAAUUCCGCGUGUAGCAGUGAAAUGCGUAGAUAUGCGGAGGAACACCGAUGGCGAAGGCAAUCCCCUGGACCUGUACUGACGCUCAUGCACGAAAGCGUGGGGAGCAAACAGGAUUAGAUACCCGAGUAGU
rnacentral:rRNA from 1 species